rnacentral:tRNA from 1 species
CUGGGAGUGGUGUAGUGGUUGCACACAUGGUUUGGGACCAUGCGGCGGGGGUCCGAAUCCCUCCUCCUUGACCA